rfam:Leptolinea tardivitalis strain YMTK-2 contig_5, whole genome shotgun sequence.
UCCGAUAAUGGCAAAUCCGGCAAAAGCCGGAGACGCAAAGCCAUGGGUCUGUCGCCGGUCACUGUACCGGCAUGAUUGCCAGGUUGCCGAAG